rnacentral:rRNA from 1 species
CGAUAAUCUCCGAGGAGAAAAGCAGGGGAUCGCAAGACCUUGCGCUUUUGGAGCGGCCGAUGUCUGAUUAGCUAGUUGGUGAGGUAAAGGCUUACCAAGGCGUCGAUCAGUAGCUGGUCUGAGAGGACGACCAGCCACACUGGGACUGAGACACGGCCCAGACUCCUACGGGAGGCAGCAGUGGGGAAUUUUGGACAAUGGGGGAAACCCUGAUCCAGCCAUGCCGCGUGAGUGAAGAAGGCCUUCGGGUUGUAAAGCUCUUUCAGCCGGAACGAAACGGUCACGGUUAAUACCUGUGACUACUGACGGUACCGGAAGAAGAAG